UGAUUCCCCUGAAGGGCCGUCGAAGACUACGACGUUGAUAGGCUGGGUGUGUAAGCGUUGUAAGGCGUUGAGCUAACCAGUACUAAUUGCCCGUGAGGCUUGACCAU
rnacentral:rRNA from 1 species